ACUCAUUCCAGUCACCUACCUCGCAGUGCACUGACAGGGGGAAAAUUAGGCCAGAGAGGUGAAGUGGCUUCAGAGGAGCUUUAAAACAACGCAUGCUGGGCCACUUUUUGCUCCAGAGGUGACAACAAGCUCCUGGCUCCUCUGAGAAAAGCUGUACCAUAGCGACACAACACCUUAUGGCCAUGCUGACAAGGUCUACUGUAUGUGUGUGCAUGUGAACACACACAGACAACAUACCCACUCUUGGAGGAGCAGCUGCUACAGUCAAUAUGUCUGAAGUUGUAACACAGCUGCAGUAACACAUGAAUAACAGGUGCCAAGGUGCCCUGGCAAAAAAACCCAUAAGGCGUUGAUCUUGCAUCAGCACCACUGUAGUGAUGACACAUUU